UGCUGACCAGGUGUCUGCACUAAGUUCGGCAUCAAUAUGGUGACCACCUGGAAGUGGGUGGGGGCCACCAGGUUGCCUAAGGAAGGGUGAACUGGCCCAGAUCAGAAAGGGAGCGGGUCAGAACUCCACACCGAUUGGUAGUGGGACUGUGCCUGGAAA
ensembl:misc_RNA Metazoa_SRP Metazoan signal recognition particle RNA